rnacentral:rRNA from 1 species
UACGUAGGGUGCAAGCGUUAUCCGGAAUUAUUGGGCGUAAAGAGCUCGUUGGCGGUUUGUCGCGUCUGCCGUGAAAGUCCGGGGCUUAACCCCGGAUCUGCGGUGGGUACGGGCAGACUAGAGUGCAGUAGGGGAGACUGGAAUUCCUGGUGUAGCGGUGAAAUGCGCAGAUAUCAGGAGGAACACCGAUGGCGAAGGCAGGUCUCUGGGCUGUAACUGACGCUGAGGAGCGAAAGCAUGGGGAGCGAACAGG